GGGGGCAACCCCCGAGUAGAGUGGCGAACGGGUGAGUAAUACAUCGGAACGUACCCAGUAGCGGGGGAUAACCUCUCGAAAGAGAGGCUAAUACCGCAUACGACCUACGGGUGAAAGAGGGGGAUCGCAAGACCUCUCACUAUUGGAGCGGCCGAUGUCGGAUUAGCUAGUUGGUGGGGUAAAAGCCUACCAAGGCGACGAUCCGUAGCUGGUCUGAGAGGACGGCCAGCCACACUGGAACUGAGACACGGUCCAGACUCCUACGGGAGGCAGCAGUGGGGAAUUUUGGACAAUGGGCGAAAGCCUGAUCCAGCCAUGCCGCGUGAGUGAAGAAGGCCUUCGGGUUGUAAAGCUCUUUCGGCUGGGACGAAAAGGUCCGUGCUAACACCACGGAUCCAUGACGGUACCAGCAGAAGAAGCACCGGCUAACUACGUGCCAGCAGCCGCGGUAAUACGUAGGGUGCAGGCGUUAAUCGGAAUUACUGGGCGUAAAGCGUGCGCAGGCGGUUUGCUAAGACAGGUGUGAAAUCCCCGGGCUUAACCUGGGAACUGCGCUUGUAACUGGCAAGCUGGAGUGUGGCAGAGGGGGGGUGGAAUUCCACGUGUAGCAGUGAAAUGCGUAGAGAUGUGGAGGAACACCGAUGGCGAAGGCAGCCCCCUGGGCUAACACUGACGCUCAUGCACGAAAGCGUGGGGAGCAAACAGGAUUAGAUACCCUGGUAGUCCACGCCCUAAACUAUGUCAACUGGUUGUCGGGGAAGCAAUUCCUUGGUAACGAAGCUAACGCGUGAAGUUG
rnacentral:rRNA from 1 species